AGAGCGAACGCUGGCGGCAGGCUUAACACAUGCAAGUCGAGCGGGCGUAGCAAUGCGUCAGCGGCAGACGGGUGAGUAACGCGUGGGAACGUACCUUUUGGUUCGGAACAACCCAGGGAAACUUGGGCUAAUACCGGAUAAGCCCUUACGGGGAAAGAUUUAUCGCCGAAAGAUCGGCCCGCGUCUGAUUAGCUAGUUGGUGAGGUAAUGGCUCACCAAGGCGACGAUCAGUAGCUGGUCUGAGAGGAUGAUCAGCCACAUUGGGACUGAGACACGGCCCAAACUCCUACGGGAGGCAGCAGUGGGGAAUAUUGGACAAUGGGCGCAAGCCUGAUCCAGCCAUGCCGCGUGAGUGAUGAAGGCCCUAGGGUUGUAAAGCUCUUUGUGCGGGAAGAUAAUGACGGUACCGCAAGAAUAAGCCCGGCUAACUUCGCGCCAGCAGCCGC
rnacentral:rRNA from 1 species